AGCGGACGCUUCCAAUAAGCUUUUUGAAAACAGUGUCAGGAAUCUUUAUUGAGUCGAGAACAUCAACGUAAUAGUGAGGUUGUUCAUCUUGACUAAUCACGGCUUUAACAAAUUCAAGUCGUUGAGGAUCUUUAAGGUGUGAUUGUAUUUCAACUAUCCGUCGACAGAUGGCUUGCGAAAGAACAAUGUUAGAAGAAAGAAAAGAAAGAAGAGAGGUAAAACUAGUGUGGUUGAAACAAUUAACUAGCGCUUCCACCUCCCGCUUAGAAACGGUCUUAAAUUUCUCAGAGUUAAACUCAGAUAACUGUUCAAGCCUGGGAAGAAGUAUUUGCAUCUUUGCAUCUUCGACUUUACCAUGAACUCUUGUUAAAAUUUCUAAUAAUAAAACCCUA